GUGCCAGCCGCCGCGGUAAUACCGGCAGCCCGAGUGAUGGCCGAUCUUAUUGGGCCUAAAGCGUCCGUAGCUGGCUGCGCAAGUCCGUCGGGAAAUCCACUCGCCCAACGAGUGGGCGUCCGACGGAAACUGCACAGCUUGGGACCGGAAGAUCCGAGGGGUACGUCCGGGGUAGGAGUGAAAUCCCGUAAUCCUGGACGGACCGCCGGUGGCGAAAGCACUUCGAGAAAACGGAUCCGACAGUGAGGGACGAAAGCCAGGGUCUCCAACCGGAUUAGAUACCCCUGUAGUCC
rnacentral:rRNA from 1 species